rnacentral:rRNA from 1 species
UACGAAGGGUGCAAGCGUUACUCGGAAUUACUGGGCGUAAAGCGUGCGUAGGUGGUUUGUUAAGUCUGAUGUGAAAGCCCUGGGCUCAACCUGGGAAUUGCAUUGGAUACUGGCAGGCUAGAGUGCGGUAGAGGGUAGUGGAAUUCCCGGUGUAGCAGUGAAAUGCGUAGAGAUCGGGAAGAACACCAGUGGCGAAGGCGACUACCUGGACCAGCACUGACACUGAGGCACGAAAGCGUGGGGAGCAAACAGG